AAUGACUGUUUUAUGCAAGGCUUUAUGGCAUACUGCCCUGUUAUGCAAACCAACUUCCCACCCCUAAAUGAAAAGCUAAAAAGCAAAACAAGCACCUUUGGACACCAGAUACUUUUGCUUUUUCUCUGUAAUCUCCCUUGGUUGAAUUUCUUAAAGGCUGCAUCUCGGGGGAUUUUGGAUAUUCACUCGGUGGAGGCAAAGAGGAAGAAGAAAGAACAGUUAGAAAAGCAGAUGGAAACAUCAGGGCCACCAGCAGGUGGACUUAGGUGGACAGUGUCAUGAAGUAUUGCGUACUGCAGGAGUGUCCUGCCACUAACUCCAGCAUCUACAGUCAGAUGGAAUUCAGCUGAGUGUUUCUUCUUUGCACUGAUGAAGAGCUAGACUUUGUUGCACAGCCUUCUGUCCGUUCUGUUUCAUUCUAUAGGAAGACUUUGGCUUCAAUUUCCUGACUUCGUGCCUUUAAGCUGAUCAUCAAGGAAAUCCUAAAGAUGCAUUUGAAGGACUUUAAAGGAAUUCCUUAUUUUUAUAACCCACUAAGAGAUUAGUAUUUGUAGGCAAAUGUUGACGUUCUGAUAAUUUACUGUCUAUACCUAUGGCAUAUCACAUUGACUUGAAAUUACAUGUCAGGAGUACAUCAGAAUUGUACUGCUGAUGUGUCCUGCCAGAAGCAUGAGGAUCUGUGCAGUGAAUGAAUGAGGGCAACUGAGAGGCAGGUUGGUGAUGAGUGAUAAUGUGCUUGUUCCAAGUUCAUGGGAAUUUUUAUUUUUGUAUUUUAAAGAAUAAUUGUAAGAUGUAACAGAUAUGACAUUGCCAAUGAAAGUAUGAGAGAAAUACAUAAGUGCUGUACCCAGGAAGAUCACCUUCAGGUGUUUGUUCAAGUACCAGCAAACAAUUUGGUGUGAUAGUCAUACAAGAGGUCUGAAGAUCUCUAUAGGUCAAAAUACAAUAUAUACAUACAUAAAAUCUAUUGUAUCUGAAAUUAAGUUAUUUACAUUGUGUAAUACUUUUAAUAUAAACUUGCAAAGUAUCCACCAAAAUACAGCCUUCCACAAGGAGACUUAACUACCAGUUGAAAGUGUGGGAGGUGCAAAAGUUAGCACUGUAAGACCUGACUGAGGUUUCAAAAUCAAAAUUAGUUAGAUGUUUGUGUUCUCCAAAAUUCUGUGAAAAGAAUCUUGAAUCUUGAAAAGAAUCAAGCACAUUGAAUGAGAUUCUUCUGCACAUUGGAGCCAUCUCAUUUUCUGUCUCUGCCUAGCCAUCUUACCUCUGGUCUGUCUGUACAGACCUCUAGACCUGUAUGGUUAGGUAGUGGCAAGCUCCAUCCUCUGAUCUUCAGACAAACUUGAUUUGUACAAGCAAGAUAUUUCCGCAGAUCUCCAUUCAUUAGACUUGAUUUAUGACAUUGUGGCUUGUUUUCUUCUUACUAUAUAAUAAGCAAAGAUGCAAAGAUGCUGCUGCUAUGGUUUAUAAUGCCAGCACAUGAUUUCCCUAUCUUAGAAUUUAUAGAUUUUAAAUGCCAGUCAAGGAUCUCAGUGAAUUAGGCCAGGUAAAGCCACAAAAGGAAACAGAGCCACCAGCUUGCCUGUCUCUCCCACAAGGUAUUUAACAGAGUGUCAAGCAUGUUCUUUUUUAAAGAGUUGGAGCUAUAAUAGGUCUCAUGAUGCCUAAAGAGUUAGUUUUCUAUUGUUCAAAAUAUUUUGUGAAUAUCUAGCAAAGUCUUAUGAAAUAUCAGCUCAGUUUUCUUCACUUAUGGAUUAGUGACAUUUUCCUCAUAAAGGAUAGUGAAAUCAAUAAACUGAAUUUUAGAAAUAA